CUCGAGGCCAGAUCUUUCCGGUUGAUCCCGCCGGACCUGACUGCUAUCGGAUUGAUACUAAGCCAUGCGAGUCAUUGUAGUAAUACAAGGCAGACGGCUCAGUAACGCGUAGUCAACCUAACCUAUGGACGGGAAUAACCUCGGGAAACUGAGUAUAAUGCCCGAUAGAACAUUAUGCCCGGAAUGGUUUAUGUUCCAAAUGAUUUAUCGCCGUAGGAUGGGACUGCGGCCUAUCAGUUUGUUGGUGAGGUAAUGGCCCACCAAGACUAUUACAGGUACGGGCUCUUAGAGGAGUAGCCCGGAGAUGGGUACUGAGACACGGACCCAGGCCCUAUGGGGCGCAGCAGGCGAGAAAACUUUGCAAUGUGCGAAAGCACGACAAGGUUAAUCCGAGUGGUUUCUGCUAAAGGAACCUUUUGUCGGUCCUAGAAACACCGAUGAAUAAGGGGUGGGCAAGUUCUGGUGUCAGCCGCCGCGGUAAAACCAGCACCUCAAGUGGUCAGGAUGAUUAUUGGGCCUAAAGCAUCCGUAGCCGGCUCUAUAAGUUUUCGGUUAAA
rnacentral:rRNA from 1 species